ACAUGAGUCUGAACAAACUCCCGGAGAUGGUGAAGGACAGGGAGGCCUGGCGUGCUGCAGUCCGUGGGGUCGCAAAGAGUCAGACACAACUGAGCGACUAAACAGCAGCAACAGAAAGCCAGCCUGUUCCACACGCUUUCUUAUUUGUCACGCUUGAGGAAAUCUGAUCUAACAUAGAAGCAGCAACCACAGCCACACAGCUGGCCAGCUGCCACAAAUCGUCCCCCACCUGCUCUUAACCUCUUCAAGCUCCUUUCCUAUGCUGCUACCUCCAAACACCCCCCAUAGAACGCAUCCUUGAGGACCCUUUCGUGUCAUCUCCUCUAGUUGACAGCUUGCUGAAUGACUGAAUGACUCACCCCGCCUAGGAGCAGCUGCCCCUACGAGUGCUUUCACGUAGAAAUGAGGGCCACCUCUUCCCUGGUGGUUCAGCUGGUAAAGAAUUCGCCUGCAAUGCGGGAAACCUGGGUUUAAUCCCUGGGUUGGGAAGAUGCCCCUGGAGAAGGGAACGGCUAUCCACUCCAGUAUUCUGGCCUGGAGAAUUCCAUGGACUGUGUAGCCCACGGGGUCACAAAGAGUCGGACACAACUGAACGACUUUCACUUUCACUUUUCUCACUUCUCUUUAUGACCCCAAUGAGGACUCCAUCCAAGUUUUUUUUUUUCUUUAGUUCAAGAUGCAGAACCUCCCAGGGUUGAAUUGCUAAUCAGCAUCUAUAGGGUAAACGUGACAGAAAGGAUGGGUGUCCCCCCGCCAGCUGGGGUCUUUCACAGCCCUGCGGUGAACCAUGGCCUCUGCAAUGGCCCAGCUGGGGAGGUAAUUCCACUUCUCCUUUGAGCCACUUCUCUCGAGUCCAGCUGUCCUUGAGUGUUUCUGUGGGGACAGCAGGUGGGGGCUUCCCCCUUGCCCUGCACUCAUCCAGAGGGAUGGACUGCUUUUGAAUGACCUGGAAGACCGACCCUUCUCCUUCAUCUUGCAUCCACUGUUUAUUCCUUGUCCUUUUACGUCUGAGGGUGUUCACCGGGUUCUGGAGGGCAGGGGUGCAGCAGACAGAGGCCUAGAGGGCUGCAUGCAAACACAUUCAACCCGAAUGAACCAGAGAGCGAUAAAACAAACCUUUAAAAAAAAUGAACUCCUUUAAAAGAGUUCCCAGUGGCUCUGUAGCCCUGGCUGGCUGCUUCUCUCAAGACCGUACGCCUUGCUCACUGGGAGCAGAUGGCCUUCUGGAGACUUCAGGCAAACUUCCUGCUACUCUGCUGGGACCAUGUGGCCCUCCCUAGUCUCUGCCCACUGUGCCAGUCUGGGUUGUGGAGUCUUGGGCCUACUGGGCUCCCAGUCCAGGCUAGAAGAGACCACAAGAGCCAGAGCCAGCAGGAGUCAUCUGGGCCCCCUCCCCAGCCCCACCCCCACAAGGGCCCCUGCUGCCAGAGGAAGAGCAUCGCCUUGUUCUGCAAAGACCAGAGUCGACAAAGGCCUGGCCCCAAACCAGCCCAGACCCAGCAGGUAUGUGGGAACAGAGCCGAUGAACUGAGGCGUGGACACACCUAGUGGGAGCAGCUGAUGAGACUUUGAGUGAUGUCUGCUGGAGUCCGGAGUCUUGUGCUCUGGAGAGGUCCGGCUGGAGGUGUGCUUCUGGGAGCAUCAGCCUCCAGGAGAGAAAGUUUGCCGCCCUCUGCUGUAGACAACGUUUCACCACUGAGCAAGAAGAACAAGAGGAUCAGAGACCUGGCCGGCGCAGGGAUCGACUGGUUUGAUCUCCUUGCUGUCCAAGAGACUGUCAAGAGUCUUC